rnacentral:rRNA from 1 species
GACGAACGCUGGCGGCGUGCUUAACACAUGCAAGUCGAACGGAAAGGCCCUGCUUUUGUGGGGUGCUCGAGUGGCGAACGGGUGAGUAACACGUGAGUAACCUGCCCUUGACUUUGGGAUAACUUCAGGAAACUGGGGCUAAUACCGGAUAGGAGCUCCUGCUGCAUGGUGGGGGUUGGAAAGUUUCGGCGGUUGGGGAUGGACUCGCGGCUUAUCAGCUUGUUGGUGGGGUAGUGGCUUACCAAGGCUUUGACGGGUAGCCGGCCUGAGAGGGUGACCGGCCACCUUGGGACUGAGAUACGGCCCAGACUCCUACGGGAGGCAGCAGUGGGGAAUAUUGCACAAUGGGCGGAAGCCUGAUGCAGCAACGCCGCGUUCGGGAUGACGGCCUUCGGGUUGUAAACCGCUUUCGCCUGUGACGAAGCGUGAGUGACGGUAAUGGGUAAAGAAGCACCGGCUAACUACGUG